UGGGGAAUUUUGGACAAUGGGCGAAAGCCUGAUCCAGCAAUGCCGCGUGUGUGAAGAAGGCCUUCGGGUUGUAAAGCACUUUUGUCCGGAAAGAAAUCCUUGGCUCUAAUACAGUCGGGGGAUGACGGUACCGGAGGAAUAAGCACCGGCUAACUACGUGCCAGCAGCCGCGGUAAUACGUAGGGUGCAAGCGUUAAUCGGAAUUACUGGGCGUAAAGCGUGCGCAGGCGGUUUGCUAAGACCGAUGUGAAAUCCCCGGGCUCAACCUGGGAACUGCAUUGGUGACUGGCAGGCUAGAGUAUGGCAGAGGGGGGUAGAAUUCCACGUGUAGCAGUGAAAUGCGUAGAGAUGUGGAGGAAUACCGAUGGCGAAGGCAGCCCCCUGGGCCAAUACUGACGCUCAUGCACGAAAGCGUGGGGAGCAAACAGGAUUAGAUACCCUGGUAGUCCACGCCCUAAACGAUGUCAACUAGUUGUUGGGGAUUCAUUUCCUUAGUAACGUAGCUAACGCGUGAAGUUGACCGCCUGGGGAGUACGGUCGCAAGAUUAAAACUCAAAUGAAUUGACGGGGUCAUAGCUGUUUCCU
rnacentral:rRNA from 1 species